ensembl:lncRNA
GACUGAACUUUGAACAGUUUUUUAUAAGAUGAACUGGUGUUACACAGCGUGUGUCAUUGCUCUGUUGAAAUGAAAGCUGAUGAUGGACUUACAAAAUGUGAUAAUUCUUCUACUGUUGUCUUGCACCACUGUGUUUACAGAUACAACUCAGAGCCCCAGUGACCUGCAGGAUGUCACCUAUUCUGAUGUCACAAUACUGAAACCAGGCAAAGCUAACAGAAGCACCUCGUCAUCGGGGGACAUUGAAUACUCUGCGGUUUCCUUCAGUGGUCGGUCAGGAUCAGCGCCCCUGCGAGCCUCAGACUGCUUUGGGUUUCCACACAGCAGAGCAUGAAACUCUGUAUGCACAGGUGAAAAAAGACUAAUUUUAAGUACAAAUGUCACAUCUACUAAAGGUUUCUAGGUGUUUGAACAGUAGAGACAAUAAAGGGCUGAUCACAACAAGGACGACA